GCAGUUUAUAGUUUGCUGGUUGUAUCCUUGCCAACCCGGAAUAUGGCAUCUCUUGGCUUAAGCAGGUCAUGUGAACGCAGCCAUUCGUUCCCCAAACUUGGCGGGGGGGGGGGGAAGGAGGCUUGGCAUCUGCGGAGGACCUGAAUACUUCUUGCUUCGCAGGGAGAUCAAAGAUGGAAGUUCAAAAGACGGCAGAGUUUUCAGGAAGGUGCAGUUUGCAAAUCGUUGCCUAAACACCACCUGCAGCUUCGAGAAAGCACCUUCUUUCUCCUGGGUGCCGCACCUGGGCCCAGGUGUGCUGCCUGCCGGUGCUUCCCUUCCAGCUGGCCCCUCCCUGCCCAAGGCAGCUUCCCAUGACCAUCGAGCUAAUCCACCCAAGGACAUUCCCAUGGUGCCAGAGGUCUCCCUGUCGUCACCUCCAUCCGGGCCAGCUGACCGAUAGGCAUCAGCACCUCCAUCACCACGCGAUCCAAAUUCAGACGCUUGGCAGCUGACUCGCAUUUACGACGGUGGCAGUGUCGUAAAUGCGGAGCGACCCCCCCCAUUGACCAGGCAUCUUGCUUAGCAACGGAAUAUUUGGGGCUCCGUCGUGGCCGUACUUUGCAAGAUAGUCUGAGGACACGAUCCAGCCACGCCGUGGGGUUUCCUUGGCAAGAACGGAAUUGUCAUUUUUCAGGGUAACAUUUGUCCGGUGACUUCAUGAAAA